rnacentral:lncRNA from 1 species
CCGGCCAAAGACUCGUCAAAAGUGUCCCUCCCAUCCUUUCCUUUGGUUCUCAACUUCUGACGAUGACUUGGAUGGAUUGGAGCUUUAACUCUGAACUGAACCGGACCACCAACAAGAUUCAGAGCGACGAAAACUCCCUCAAACCAGCAACCACAGGAUUAUCAAAACAGCACAAAACAAAACGCAUCUCGUCCCAAAUACAUACGCAUAUCAACGCGGUUAACUGAACAGGCAACACAGUUCUGAUCAUUAACACAAACCAGUAAAAUUAAUUUACUACUACUACUGCAGAUCACCACCGAAGCACAAGCAGCCAAGAACAAAGCACACCUAGAUCAACCGUCAGGUCCAUGCUGCUUCAACCGCGCUACAGAUCACACAGGAGAGGCAAUGCUGCCGCUUCAGGGUUCAGGUGGGGGUGGGGUUAAAUGGGACUAAGAGCAUCUCUAGUAGAACCCUCAAACCCUUAAAAAUAACCGCUUUUUUACAGUUUUCAUCGAAAAAACAACGUAGACUAGAACCCUUAAACCCUUA